GACAGACUUCCUAAACAAAUGUGA
rnacentral:siRNA from 1 species